UGGACGCCUCUCCCUAUCCUGUGGUCAUACAAAGCAUCUGAGAUUUUCCUCGUAUCUAUCUUUUCACCAGUAUGACUCUGCAUUAGCUAUUUGUCCAGAGAGAAAGUAGGUGAAUGUUGAUUAUUUGUUUGGUACCUAUUCCCCCAAGAGGGAUGCCAGUGUCCUGAUGCUGACCAGGAGCACCGGUUCCGCCACUUGCUUCCCGCUGGAGUCUUAGCACCAACUGGAUGAGGGGACUCCUCUCCGUUUUGAAUUCCUGGCUCUCCAUGGCUUUGAAGUAAUAUGAUGUGGGGUCCUCAAAUGCUGCCAGAACUUGAAGUGGGCUCCGUCAACUGUCCAGGGCAAGGUCGGUCUGUCCGGAUGGCACUACUUGAGGUUGUCUGGUAGCCAUAGCUGCUGCCCUCAACAUGGUACACUUGACAUUUACUGCCAAAGCUACCAUCAGAGCACCUCUCCCUACCCUGCAGGACAUCUAUACCCGAAGAGUGCAACAAGGGCCCAGAAUAUUUCAAGAGACAUUUCACACCCUGACCAUGGACUGUUUAAACCACUGUGGCCAAGCAUACAUCUCUGUUUCCACAUGGCUAAAACAGACUGAGGAGGAGUUUCUUUCCUCAAGCCAUCCGCAUCCCGAACACACAUAACUCUUUAAACUACAUUACAUAGACUUGCUAUACUGCACUUACAGUACACACACUGCACUUUGUACACCCUGGAUCAUUCUGUGUCAAAUCAGUAUCUCAGGUUUUGCUAAAAUAAUGUCUAUAUACAGUAGAAUGGUUCCCAAAACCAAGGCCUGUGAAAUAUUUCUGUUCAAAUCCUAUAUCUUCAUAUUAUUACGGCAGGCUCGUUUUCUGCAAGGUCCUAGAUUUGGGAUAAGUGCAUAAAUCAGUAACAUUAAGGGUAUGAAUGUCUUUUUGUACAUAUUUACAUAUUAUGUGUUAUUAAUGCCAAUAUUUUCAAUAUGUAAUGUGCUUGAAGAUGUUAAAGGUUAAGCAAGGGAAG